rnacentral:sRNA from 1 species
CUUUAACAAUCUGGAACAAGCUGAAAAUUGAAAGUUUACAGCUGAACAUCACUCUCCGUAGAAGUACUGAGUGAUGGAUUAGCCUGUAACAGAGUCUCUCAAAUAAUCGCAGCGCGACGUUGUCUUUAAGACACCUUCGG